GGGAAGAUAGGAAGCAGGGGGCUGUUUGAUGGAUGAGAAGUCAUUGGCAUAUUUGGCGUGCUAGAGAAGAGGUUCCCUAAGAGGUAAUAGUCAAGGUGGAGCUGAAGAAGCGACUAUACAGCUUUUGGAUGCAGGAAGGCAGGGAAGUAGUCAAGGUGCAUUCAGCGGUUUGACCAGAGCAUGGAUUUACGGAGCGUUAGGAUGAUGG
rnacentral:lncRNA from 1 species